rfam:Cellulophaga algicola DSM 14237, complete genome.
AUAAUCACGAGUUGGUAUAGUAGAGAAGUCAGCCGAGGUCAUAGUACUUACAGGAAACGAGCUAGGGAAAAACCCUAGAGGUCUCAUGAGUAAGGAAGGAC